UUAAGCGACUAAGCGUACACGGUGGAUGCCCUGGCAGUCAGAGGCGAUGAAGGACGUGCUAAUCUGCGAAAAGCGUCGGUAAGGUGAUAUGAACCGUUAUAACCGGCGAUGUCCGAAUGGGGAAACCCAGUGCAAUUCGUUGCACUAUCGUUAACUGAAUACAUAGGUUAACGAGGCGAACCGGGGGAACUGAAACAUCUAAGUACCCCGAGGAAAAGAAAUCAACCGAGAUUCCCCCAGUAGCGGCGAGCGAACGGGGAGCAGCCCAGAGUCUGAAUCAGCUUGUGUGUUAGUGGAACGGUCUGGAAAGUCCGACGGUACAGGGUGAUAGUCCCGUACACCAAAAUGCACAGGCUGUGAACUCGAAGAGUAGGGCGGGACACGUGGUAUCCUGUCUGAAUAUGGGGGGACCAUCCUCCAAGGCUAAAUACUCCUGACUGACCGAUAGUGAACCAGUACCGUGAGGGAAAGGCGAAAAGAACCCCGGCGAGGGGAGUGAAAAAGAACCUGAAACCGUGUACGUACAAGCAGUGGGAGCACCUUCGGGUGUGACUGCGUACCUUUUGUAUAAUGGGUCAGCGACUUAUAUUCUGUAGCAAGGUUAACCGUAUAGGGGAGCCGCAGGGAAACCGAGUCUUAACUGGGCGUUAAGUUGCAGGGUAUAGACCCGAAACCCGGUGAUCUAGCCAUGGGCAGGUUGAAGGUUGGGUAACACUAACUGGAGGACCGAACCGACUAAUGUUGAAAAAUUAGCGGAUGACUUGUGGCUGGGGGUGAAAGGCCAAUCAAACCGGGAGAUAGCUGGUUCUCCCCGAAAGCUAUUUAGGUAGCGCCUCGUGAACUCAUCUUCGGGGGUAGAGCACUGUUUCGGCUAGGGGGUCAUCCCGACUUACCAACCCGAUGCAAACUACGAAUACCGAAGAAUGUUAUCACGGGAGACACACGGCGGGUGCUAACGUCCGUCGUGAAGAGGGAAACAACCCAGACCGCCAGCUAAGGUCCCAAAGUCAUGGUUAAGUGGGAAACGAUGUGGGAAGGCACAGACAGCCAGGAUGUUGGCUUAGAAGCAGCCAUCAUUUAAAGAAAGCGUAAUAGCUCACUGGUCGAGUCGGCCUGCGCGGAAGAUGUAACGGGGCUAAACCAUGCACCGAAGCUGCGGCAGCGACACUAUGUGUUGUUGGGUAGGGGAGCGUUCUGUAAGCCUGCGAAGGUGACCUGUGAGGGUUGCUGGAGGUAUCAGAAGUGCGAAUGCUGACAUAAGUAACGAUAAAGCGGGUGAAAAGCCCGCUCGCCGGAAGACCAAGGGUUCCUGUCCAACGUUAAUCGGGGCAGGGUGAGUCGACCCCUAAGGCGAGGCCGAAAGGCGUAGUCGAUGGGAAACAGGUUAAUAUUCCUGUACUUGGUGUUACUGCGAAGGGGGGACGGAGAAGGCUAUGUUAGCCGGGCGACGGUUGUCCCGGUUUAAGCAUGUAGGCUGGUUAUCCAGGCAAAUCCGGAUAAUCAAGGCUGAGGUGUGAUGACGAGGCACUACGGUGCUGAAGUAACAAAUGCCCUGCUUCCAGGAAAAGCCUCUAAGCAUCAGGUAACAUCAAAUCGUACCCCAAACCGACACAGGUGGUCAGGUAGAGAAUACCAAGGCGCUUGAGAGAACUCGGGUGAAGGAACUAGGCAAAAUGGUGCCGUAACUUCGGGAGAAGGCACGCUGGUGUGUAGGUGAAGCCCCUGCGGGUGGAGCUGAGACCAGUCGAAGAUACCAGCUGGCUGCAACUGUUUAUUAAAAACACAGCACUGUGCAAACACGAAAGUGGACGUAUACGGUGUGACGCCUGCCCGGUGCCGGAAGGUUAAUUGAUGGGGUUAUCCGUAAGGAGAAGCUCUUGAUCGAAGCCCCGGUAAACGGCGGCCGUAACUAUAACGGUCCUAAGGUAGCGAAAUUCCUUGUCGGGUAAGUUCCGACCUGCACGAAUGGCGUAAUGAUGGCCAGGCUGUCUCCACCCGAGACUCAGUGAAAUUGAACUCGCUGUGAAGAUGCAGUGUACCCGCGGCAAGACGGAAAGACCCCGUGAACCUUUACUAUAGCUUGACACUGAACAUUGAGCCUUGAUGUGUAGGAUAGGUGGGAGGCUUUGAAGCGUGGACGCCAGUCUGCGUGGAGCCAACCUUGAAAUACCACCCUUUAAUGUUUGAUGUUCUAACGUUGGCCCCUGACCGGGGUUGCGGACAGUGUCUGGUGGGUAGUUUGACUGGGGCGGUCUCCUCCCAAAGCGUAACGGAGGAGCACGAAGGUUAGCUAAUCCUGGUCGGACAUCAGGAGGUUAGUGCAAUGGCAUAAGCUAGCUUGACUGCGAGCGUGACGGCGCGAGCAGGUGCGAAAGCAGGUCAUAGUGAUCCGGUGGUUCUGAAUGGAAGGGCCAUCGCUCAACGGAUAAAAGGUACUCCGGGGAUAACAGGCUGAUACCGCCCAAGAGUUCAUAUCGACGGCGGUGUUUGGCACCUCGAUGUCGGCUCAUCACAUCCUGGGGCUGAAGUAGGUCCCAAGGGUAUGGCUGUUCGCCAUUUAAAGUGGUACGCGAGCUGGGUUUAGAACGUCGUGAGACAGUUCGGUCCCUAUCUGCCGUGGGCGCUGGAGAAUUGAGGGGGGCUGCUCCUAGUACGAGAGGACCGGAGUGGACGCAUCACUGGUGUUCGGGUUGUCAUGCCAAUGGCACUGCCCGGUAGCUAAAUGCGGAAGAGAUAAGUGCUGAAAGCAUCUAAGCACGAAACUUGCCCCGAGAUGAGUUCUCCCUGAGACUUUAAGUCUCCUGAAGGAACGUUGAAGACGACGACGUUGAUAGGCCGGGUGUGUAAGCGCAGCGAUGCGUUGAGCUAACCGGUACUAAUGAACCGUGAGGCUUAACCUU
rnacentral:rRNA from 1 species